rnacentral:rRNA from 1 species
UGAGGAAUAUUGGUCAAUGGACGCAAGUCUGAACCAGCCAUGCCGCGUGCAGGAUGACGGCUCUAUGAGUUGUAAACUGCUUUUGUACGAGGGUAAACGCAGAUACGUGUAUCUGUCUGAAAGUAUCGUACGAAUAAGGAUCGGCUAACUCCGCGCCAGCAGCCGCGGUAAUACGGAGGAUUCAAGCGUUAUCCGGAUUUAUUGGGUUUAAAGGGUGCGUAGGCGGUUUGAUAAGUUAGAGGUGAAAUUUCGGGGCUCAACCCUGAACGUGCCUCUAAUACUGUUGAGCUAGAGAGUAGUUGCGGUAGGCGGAAUGUAUGGUGUAGCGGUGAAAUGCUUAGAGAUCAUACAGAACACCGAUUGCGAAGGCAGCUUACCAAACUAUAUCUGACGUUGAGGCACGAAAGCGUGGGGAGCAAACAGGAUUAGAUACCCUGGUAGUCCACGCAGUAAACGAUGAUAACUCGUUGUCGGCGAUACACAGUCGGUGACUAAGCGAAAGCGAUAAGUUAUCCACCUGGGGAGUACGUUCGCAAGAAUGAAACUCAAAGGAAUUGACGGGGGCCCGCACAAGCGGAGGAACAUGUGGUUUAAUUCGAUGAUACGCGAGGAACCUUACCCGGGCUUGAAAGUUAGCGACGAUUCUUGAAAGAGGAUUUCCCUUCGGGGCGCGAAACUAGGUGCUGCAUGGUUGUCGUCAGCUCGUGCCGUGAGGUGUCGGGUUAAGUCCCAUAACGAGCGCAACCCCUACCGUUAGUUGCCAUCAGGUGAAGCUGGGCACUCUGGCGGGACUGCCGGUGUAAGCCGAGAGGAAGGUGGGGAUGACGUCAAAUCAGCACGGCCCUUACGUCCGGGGCUACACACGUGUUACAAUGGUAGGUACAGAGGGCAGCUACCCAGCGAUGGGAUGCGAAUCUCGAAAGCCUAUCUCAGUUCGGAUUGGAGGCUGAAACCCGCCUCCAUGAAGUUGGAUUCGCUAGUAAUCGCGCAUCAGCCAUGGCGCGGUGAAUACGUUCCC